rnacentral:rRNA from 1 species
CCCUUAGAUGUUCUGGGCCGCAUGCGCGCUACACUGAUGCAUUCAACGAGUCUAAAACCUGCUCUGAUAGGGGUGGGUAAUCUUUUGAAUGUGCAUCGUGAUUGGGAUAGAUGAUUGAAAUUUUUCAUCUUCAACGAGGAAUGCCUAGUAAACGCAAGUCAUCAGCUUGCAUUGAUUACGUCCCUGCCCUUUGUACACACCGCCCGUCGCUCCUACCGAUUGAAUGAUCCGAUGAAUAUCAUGGAUUGAGGAUGCAAGUAGGUUCACCUAUCUUCAUCUUCGAGAAGUGAAGUAAAUCUUAUCAUUUAGAGGAAGGAGAAGUCGUAACA